GCCGAGUGAGAACUUUCAAAUUCAGAGAAACCCCGGAAUUAAUAAAAAGGGGCAAUCCUGAGCCAAAUCCUGUUUUCUGAAAACAAAGGUUCAGAAAGUGAAAAAGGGGAUAGGUGCAGAGACUCAAUGGAAGCUGUUCUAACAAAUGGAGUUGGCUGCGGUAGUAGAGAAGUCUUUCCAUCAAAAAUUCAGUAAGUAUUAAGUAUAAGUAUUAAGGAUGAGGUGAAGGAUAAACGUAUAUACAUACGUAGUGAAUAGUAUAUUAAAUGAGUAAUGACAGCCCGAAUGAAUCUAUGUUUUUUCUAUGAAAAAACAAAGAAUUGGUGUGAAUAGAUUCUACGUUGAAGAAAGAAUCGAAUAUUCAUUAAUCAAAUGAUUCACUCCAUAGUCUGAUAAAUCUUUUCAAGAACUGAUUAAUCGGACGAGAAUAAAGAUAGAGUCCCAUUCUACAUGUCAAUGCCGGCAGCAAUGAAAUUUAUAGUUAAGAGGAAAAUCCGUCGACUUUUAAAAUCGUGAGGGUUCAAGCCCCUCUAUCCCCAAAUAAACUAUUUGACUCCCAACUAUCUAUUUACCUAUCCCUCUUUUUGU
rnacentral:precursor_RNA from 1 species